ensembl:lncRNA
UUUCCUUUGGGCAUAGGGUUCAUGAAGGUAGAUCUUACCAGUAAGGACUGAGGUGAAGAAAACAUCAAGUAUCUUGGCCUUUUCCACUUCUUUUUUAUCAGGAUCCUACACUCCAUCAUCUCAUGCUCAUGGCAGCCAAGACUUCCCCGUCCCUUGACAUGCUGGACCAGUCCUUCCUUGUUUUAUCAGAAGACACAGAGAGCUGACUCUGAAGAGCGCUGACCCGCUACCUCUCUUGUCCCUGAAGAGAAUAAGCAAAUACGUGUUUUGGAGCUAUUUUACACCGAUGUCCAUUACGUUACACAUUGCUGGGAAGGAUGGGAAACAGCAGAAAAGAGGAUUUUUCCACGUCCUGCCUACCUCUUUCACACUUGAAUUCUCUCUGAUUUUGCUCAUUGUUUUAGACAGGUUCCUGAGAUCCAUGGGCUAUUCUUUUUACACUUCCUGAUCUCACACAGACUGUCAUUUAAUCUUGUAAAGUGUUUUGAAACACUGCUCAUAUAAAAGGUGAUGUGAUGGCC